rnacentral:rRNA from 1 species
UACAGAGGUCUCAAGCGUUGUUCGGAUUCAUUGGGCGUAAAGGGUGCGUAGGCGGCGCGGUAAGUCGGGUGUGAAAUCUUGGAGCUUAACUCCGAAACUGCAUUCGAUACUGCCGUGCUUGAGGACUGGAGAGGAGACUGGAAUUUACGGUGUAGCGGUGAAAUGCGUAGAUACCGUAAGGAAGACCAGUGGCGAAGGCGGGUCUCUGGACAGUUCCUGACGCUGAGGCGCGAAGGCCAGGGGAGCAAACGGG